CGGCGAGUGAAGAGGAAAGAGCUCAAAGUUGGAACCUGUUUGGCUUAGCUAAACCGGAUUGUAAACUGUAGAAGUGUUUUCCAGACACGCCUGGUAAAAAAGUCCUUUGGAACAGGGCAUCAUAGAGGGUGAGAAUCCCGUCUUUGGCCAGAGCUGUUGUCUUUUGUGAUACAUUUUCAAAGAGUCAGGUUGUUUGGGAAUGCAGCCUAAAUUGGGUGGUAAAUCUCACCUAAAGCUAAAUAUUUGCGAGAGACCGAUAGCGAACAAGUACCGUGAGGGAAAGAUGAAAAGAACUUUGAAAAGAGAGUUAAACAGUAUGUGAAAUUGUUAAAAGGGAACCGUUUGGAGCCAGACUGGCUUGACUGUAAUCAAUCUAGGCUUCGGCCUGGAUGCACUUGCGGUUUAUGCCUGCCAACGACAAUUUUUUUUGAGGGAAAAAACUAUUAGGAAUGUGGCCCCCCUCGGGGGGUGUUAUAGCCUUUUAGAAAAUACCUUGAAUUGGAUUGAGGAACGCAGUGAAUGCCUUUAGGCAAGAUUGCUGGGCGCUUUCGCUAAUAAAUGCUAGAAUUUCUGCUUCGGGUGGUGCUGGUGUUUAAAGGAGAAACUCGUCUGGUAUAUUU
rnacentral:rRNA from 1 species